UGGGGAAUUUUGGACAAUGGGCGAAAGCCUGAUCCAGCAAUGCCGCGUGUGUGAAGAAGGCCUUCGGGUUGUAAAGCACUUUUGUCCGGAAAGAAAUGGCUCUGGUUAAUACCUGGGGUCGAUGACGGUACCGGAAGAAUAAGGACCGGCUAACUACGUGCCAGCAGCCGCGGUAAUACGUAGGGUCCAAGCGUUAAUCGGAAUUACUGGGCGUAAAGCGUGCGCAGGCGGUUGUGCAAGACCGAUGUGAAAUCCCCGAGCUUAACUUGGGAAUUGCAUUGGUGACUGCACGGCUAGAGUGUGUCAGAGGGGGGUAGAAUUCCACGUGUAGCAGUGAAAUGCGUAGAGAUGUGGAGGAAUACCGAUGGCGAAGGCAGCCCCCUGUGAUAACACUGACGCUCAUGCACGAAAGCGUGGGGAGCAAACAGG
rnacentral:rRNA from 1 species